rnacentral:rRNA from 1 species
ACUCCUGCGGGAGGCAGCAGUGGGGAAUAUUGCACAAUGGGCGCAAGCCUGAUGCAGCCAUGCCGCGUGUAUGAAGAAGGCCUUCGGGUUGUAAAGUACUUUCAGCGGGGAGGAAGGCAAUACGGUUAAUAACCGUGUUGAUUGACGUUACCCGCAGAAGAAGCACCGGCUAACUCCGUGCCAGCAGCCGCGGUAAUACGGAGGGUGCAAGCGUUAAUCGGAAUUACUGGGCGUAAAGCGCACGCAGGCGGUCUGUCAAGUCGGAUGUGAAAUCCCCGGGCUCAACCUGGGAACUGCAUUCGAAACUGGCAGGCUUGAGUCUUGUAGAGGGGGGUAGAAUUCCAGGUGUAGCGGUGAAAUGCGUAGAGAUCUGGAGGAAUACCGGUGGCGAAGGCGGCCCCCUGGACAAAGACUGACGCUCAGGUGCGAAAGCGUGGGGAGCAAACAGGAUUAGAUACCCUAGUAGUCCC